AUUGAACGCUGGCGGCAUGCCUUACACGUGCAAGUCGAACGGUAACGCGGGGCAACCUGGCGACGAGUGGCGAACGGGUGAGUAGUGCAUCGGAACGUGCCCAAUAGUGGGGGAGUAGCCGGCGAAAGACCGGAUUAAUACCGCAUACGACCUAUGGGUGGAAAGACGGGGGAGUCGCAAGACCUCGCGCUAUUGGAGCGGCCGAUGUCAGAUUAGGUAGUUGGCGGGGUAAAGGCCCACCAAGCCUGCGAUCUGUAGCUGGUCUGAGAGGACGACCAGCCACACUGGGACGUGAGACACGGCCCAGACUCCUACGGGAGGGCAGCAGGUGGGGAAGUUUUGGUACAAUGGGGGUAACCCGUGAUCCAGCCAUGCCGCGUGCGGGAAGAAGGCC
rnacentral:rRNA from 1 species